UACGGAGGGGGCUAGCGUUGUUCGGAAUUACUGGGCGUAAAGGGCGCGUAGGCGGCCUGCUAAGUCGGACGUGAAAUCCCUGGGCUCAACCCAGGAACUGCGUCCGAUACUGAAAGGCUUGAAUCCGGGAGAGGGAUGCGGAAUUCCAGGUGUAGCGGUGAAAUGCGUAGAUAUCUGGAGGAACACCGGUGGCGAAGGCGGCAUCCUGGACCGGUAUUGACGCUGAGGCGCGAAAGCCAGGGGAGCAAACGGG
rnacentral:rRNA from 1 species